rnacentral:lncRNA from 1 species
CGUUCUGAUCGGUUGACUAUUCCCAAAAUACAGUUCACCGACAGGAGUCGUUUCUUCUUGGGAAAUUCCCUUACAGCAACUUCAAAGGAAUGGAAAGGUACUGAUCUUAGGUGAAACAAAACAGAAGCAUUAGGGUAGAGAGAAAGCGGCAACAGCCAAGUGCCUCUGUGCACAUGUGUGCUCUGAGUAGCUCAAAGCAGCAAGAAGAAAUGGUUCCAUAUUUGCUGAGGCAAGGGAUGGCAUUCAGGCAUCAGAAUGAUAACUCUACCACCUGAGCCUGGCUGGGAAUUCUACACCAAGUGACAUUUGAGUGUUGUCUUUUGAUGGCUUGUUUGGGUUUGAUUUAGUUUGGUUUUAUUUUCUUUAACUGAAGUGCGUGCACAGAAGGAGCUCAGGAGACAGAACUGGUGAAAGAGAUGUUAGCUGACUUGGACGACUUGAGGCUGUCAUUGCUAUUUCUUGAUGAAUGUCCUAUAAGUUGGUCCAGAUUCCAUGCAUGUGUGAAAGGCCAGGAAAGGUCUCUGGUGACCCAGGCUUUGGUUGGGCCACAAAGGCUUCAGCACUCCUGCUGCCUUUGGUGGUUGUGUUUUGAUCAGCUUCCUUCUCUGCACCUUGAUGGACCUCAGAAUCAGAAGGCAAGCCCAGCAGGAGGUAGAGGAGGGCUCUCUGGUUGGUGUUGCCCAUCCAACCAGGGAUGCUAGCUGGCCACCGGUUGUCUGCUAGUGGGGACAGCCAGCGAGCAUCAGUGUGAACUCAGGAAUAGAAACAUGGGGCCUUUAAAAUGAGAGGAGGAAAAUCCAUGAUGCAUAUCUGUAAUCCCCUAGAACCCAAGUGCCGGAAUUCAUUCUAGAUGCUGCUUCUGUUUGAAUAAAGCCACUGCUUUUACACUUGAAAUUGAACUCCAUGAAAAAUGCUUUUGGACUUUUAUGAAACUAUUUGCUGUUUGUUUCCUUUGAUUGCCAUUCCACCAGUAAUUUCUUGGUUGAUUGGAACUGCACACAGUUGGAGUUUGGACCUGGGGAAGGGUCUGUCUGCAGAGCAGAACUCGGGCUUGCUCAGGAAGUGGACCAGGAAAUGUAGUGAUCACUGAUACUUCCUGGGGCAAAGGA